rnacentral:tRNA from 1 species
GCAUUCGUUAGCUCAGUUGGUGGAGCGCUCCACUGGAAAUGGAGAGGUCUGUGGUUCUAUACCAAGCCUAGGCG